GUCCCUUUGGGGUCACUUUAGGGUCCCUAUGUGAUCCCUUUGGGGUCCCUUUGGGGUCUGGGGGUCACUUUAUGGUCCCUUUGUGGUCCCUUUGGGGUCUCUUUGGGGUCCCUUUGGGGUCAC
rnacentral:lncRNA from 1 species